UGUGCAAUACAAGUAAUAUCAAAUUGUUGCCUUGAUUCUAUGAUUCUGUGUGCGGCUCAGACAAUCCCCUAUAGCCUAAUAUAAACCAACAGACUGCCUUCAUUUUUACUACAAUAGGUGAAAAAAAAUGAUUAAACAAUUACAGCAGCUAAACAUGGAUGUAAACCUGAGAACCUGACAAAAUUACAUAUUCCAUGCAAGUCUCUAAGCAAAAGGACUGAUCUGCAUGUUACCUUGAUUCCUCCAAAUGAGGGUAAAAUCAGGAAGGUGAAAGUAAUUAUAGGGGCCU
rnacentral:misc_RNA from 1 species